rnacentral:rRNA from 1 species
AGUCGGACGGCAGCACGGACUUCGGUCUGGUGGCGAGUGGCGAACGGGUGAGUAAUGCAUUGGAACGUACCGAGUAGUGGGGGAUAACUAGUCGAAAGAUUAGCUAAUACCGCAUACGCAUUGAGAUGGAAAGCGGGGGAUCUUAGGACCUCGCGCUAUUUGAGCGGCCAAUGUCUGAUUAGCUAGUUGGUGGGGUAAAGGCCUACCAAGGCGACGGUCAGUAGCGGGUCUGAGAGGAUGAUCCGCCACACUGGGACUGAGACACGGCCCAGACUCCUACGGGAGGCAGCAGUGGGGAAUUUUGGACAAUGGGCGAAAGCCUGAUCCAGCCAUGCCGCGUGUCUGAAGAAGGCCUUCGGGUUGUAAAGGACUUUUGUCAGGGAAGAAAAGGUGAUUGCUAAUAUCAGUCGCUGAUGACGGUACCUGAAGAAUAAGCACCGGCUAACUACGUGCCAGCAGCCGCGGUAAUACGUAGGGUGCGAGCGUUAAUCGGAAUUACUGGGCGUAAAGCGAGCGCAGACGGUUUGUUAAGCAGGAUGUGAAAUCCCCGAGCUCAACUUGGGAACGGCGUUCUGAACUGGCAAGCUAGAGUAUGUCAGAGGGGGGUAGAAUUCCACGUGUACCAGUGAAAUGCGUAGAGAUGUGGAGGAAUACCGAUGGCGAAGGCAGCCCCCUGGGAUAAUACUGACGUUCA